rnacentral:rRNA from 1 species
UACGGGAGGCAGCAGUGGGGAAUAUUGCACAAUGGGCGAAAGCCUGAUGCAGCUAUGCCGCGUGUAUGAAGAAGGCCUUAGGGUUGUAAAGUACUUUCAUCGGGGAGGAAAAACAAAACUAAUAAUUUUAUUUCUUGACGUUACCCGAAAAAGAAGCACCGGCUAACUCCGUGCCAGCAGCCGCGGUAAUACGGAGGGUGCUAGCGUUAAUCAGAAUUACUGGGCGUAAAGAGCACGUAGGUGGUUUUUUAAGUCAGAUGUGAAAUCCCUGGGCUUAACCUAGGAACUGCAUUUUGAAACUGAAAUACUAGAGUAUCGUAGAGGGAGGUAGAAUUCUAGGUGUAGCGGUGAAAUGCGUAGAUAUCUGGAGGAAUACCUGUGGCGAAAGCGGCCUCCUAAACGAAUACUGACACUGAGGUGCGAAAGCGUGGGGAGCGAAACAGGGAUUAGAUACC